CACAUCCUUCCAAGACACUCCUCUGUCCAAGAUGAAGAUUUUUCUCAAAUCGAGGUAUAGAGCUAUUUGCGUGGCAUGAAAUCAUGCAGACAAAGAAUUUGUAAUGCAUAGAUGUUUUCAUUAUGGAGGAUUAUGCGAAAAGCCGAUGUUCAAGAAAGAUGAAGCCCAAGCAAUAGCUCAGUGGUUCUACGAAUCUUACAGAUCCUCACAACAAGAAUUCUUCGUUUUCACAAGAAAAUGAAAAAAAUCCCAAAUGUGAGUGGCAUGAUCAAGAAAGACGAAAUACAUAUGUACUGUUUUGCUUCAUAAUUGAGAUGUCCUUCAAAGUGUCAUAGAGAAUUCUAUUCCAGAAUGAGGAUGAAGAGGAUUCUGGUUGAGACUGUUUGCCAGCAAUCCAAUACUAUUAAUACCAUGGGAAGUUUACCACCACUCACUGCUAAUGCAAUUGCACUUACUGAAAAGAAAAUGGACAUGACACUUGGUAGGUUGAAAGGUGUUGUUGUUACAAGAUUUCUACAACUGUUGUUGUUUGUCAAAGAAAACUAAGCCAAAGAUAAGGAAGCAGCGAACCUCAGUAGAAUAAGAGCCAGCGACCUUUUCCAAACAAAUAUGGUGCAAGGGAUGGUGUGUCCAAAGCCCACGUCCAACAAUUAGUGGCUGCAAGAUCUUCAGCUCUUAGACAGGCAAAGCUUGCGGACAUGAGGUCAAGGAAUGGAAAUAAUCAGUUUCCAGCUAUGAAAGAAGCAGCAAGAAGGAUAGCUGUUGCAAGAUCCGUCCAGUGGAACAAGAGAAGGUAAUGUGAUUACCGUUUAUACUGGUAUAUGGCAAGUUUCUGUGAAGCUCAUUUAAGUAUAUGGCAAGUUGCAGUUGGUUACUUUCAUCUCUAAAUCAUCAAUCAACAUCCUAAUUGAGCCACAGGAUUUUCAACCAGAAUAACUUGAAGAACCACAUCACAGAUAUGUAGUGGCUUCACAGUAUAAUUUGAAACCAAGGAAUUUUGAGAACUGAGUUGGUUUAUUGAAUUUGUAACCUCAGCUAUUUUUUCAAAAGACCCAAUUAUGGGAACUUAAAUUGCUUCCUGAGUGCACAAUUCCAAUUGUCCUUGCACAAUAUUCACCUAAGGUAUUUUGUUUUGCAAAAUUUCUUCUCUUUUCAGUGGCGGCAAUGGACUGGAUGAGAAUUAUUUUGAAUUUUGAGCCUUUUAUUAAUGUGAUCUAUUCAAAAUUCAUUGCUUUCAUUUGAACACUUCUUUCAACAAGAAUUGAGGUGAUAUGUUCUGUAUAUGGCAGGUUGGUUUCUAGUAAACAGAUAUGAUUUCAAGCUAAAGAGAGAGAGAGUAGAAUUCAACUGACAGUCAAAACAUGCAAGAUUCACAGUAUAACAUUUUGUUGCUCUCUCCUGCAGCUAGCUGGUAGAUGCAAUCUUCUGUAUCAGAGAACUGGUGCUUGUUGGACGGUGCUUGGUGGAAGUGAAUUAAAGGGGUGCGUUUGAGAGCUAUAAAUAAUGAUAGAUGUUUUAUCACAAAGAAUAUUUUAUUGCAACAGAUAUUUCAUAACAUAUAUUUUAUUGCAUACAAUAAAUAUGCUGCAACUACCUGGUGCACCGUCGGUAGAAAGAAUGGUUGAAUGUGGUAAGAACAUCGAACGAUAAGACUUGUUUGCAUUGGUUGUUCUCCUCAGUUGCCACAAUAUCUACUAUCUUAUAGCCAGGUCUGCAUCGCAUUCAUGCAAAAAAUAUCUUCCUUUCCGCAUCUUUUAAAUGCACGAAAAGACUUGCUAAGUGGAAUUCUCGAGAAAUCAAGGAGUUAAUAUUUUUUACCUUCCUUUCGAAU